rnacentral:rRNA from 1 species
UACGUAGGGUGCGAGCGUUAAUCGGAAUUACUGGGCGUAAAGCGUGCGCAGGCUGUUCUGUAAGUCAGAUGUGAAAUCCCCGAGCUCAACUUGGGAACUGCGUUUGAAACUACAGGACUAGAAUAUGUCAGAGGGGGGUAGGAAUUCCACGUGUAGCAGUGAAAUGCGUAGAGAUGUGGAGGAAUACCAAUGGCGAAGGCAGCCCCCUGGGAUAAUAUUGACGCUCAUGCACGAAAGCGUGGGGAGCAAACAGG